AAUCUGGAGUUUCAACUCCACCCUCCCUGGCAGGAGGAGUCAAUGCAAAGCCGAACAAUUUCCAGGUUUAUUUGUGUGACUGAGGCAAGGCUGCCAGAGAACAAGAAUCACACAGAAACAAGAUGGAAAACAAAUUUGGUCUGCUGUUUUUUGUCAUUUGCUUUACAGGUGUUUGUUGUCAGACUCUGACAGAAUCUGAUCCAGCAGUAAAAAGCCCAGGUGAAUCCCACAGACUGACCUGUACAACAUCUGGAAUCUCAUUCAGCAGCUACUGGAUGAACUGGAUCAGACAGGCUCCUGGGAAAGGACUGGAAUGGCUUGCAAUAAUCAGAUAUGACAGCCGGGAAAUCUACUACUCUCAGUCAGUGCAAGGUCGGUUUACCAUCUCCAGAGACAACAGCAGAGAGCAGCUGUAUCUCCAGAUGAACAACCUGAAAACAGAAGAUUCUGCUGUUUAUUACUGCGCUCGAGGUGCACAGUGACUGAAGUCGGUUCAGCUGGCGUACAAAAACCUCAAAUCCUCUCAGAGCUAUUUUGUGGGUUAUUUUGUUUUUCUUUGUGAGACACGGAUAUAAG